CGCAUCAAAUGGAGGUUGAUUCCAUAAAAAAAAAAUAGGAGGAUGUUAGUGAACACACUCCUAGAAAUAUAUGAAACCGUGUGUAGUCUUAUUUUUAUAAAUAUAAUUUAGUCUUAUUCAUCUUUUUUUUAAAAAUAGAUUUUAAAAUUUUCUAAUUCCAAAAUGAAACUUAAGAUCACAUGCUAUCUAUAUACUCCCUCUGUCCCAUUUAAUUGUAUACGUUUCUUUUCAACUGUUCGACACGCAUUUCAAUGCUCUUAUAAAAUAUAGUUCCGUAACUUAUUUUUGAGAUUUUCUUUUUCUGAAUAAAAAUAUAACAUCCAAACUUUAAUUCAGAAAAAGAAAAUUUUAAAAAUAAAUUACACAACUAUACUUUACGGGAGCAUUAAAGUCCGUGCCGCGUCCCCGUCCCCCAAUGUAUACUACUCAGGGGGACGGAGGGAGUAUUAAUAUAGCUGCUGACGCGAUUUUCUUACACUCAUAUACACACUCUUUUUUGCAAAAUAUAAUAUUUGUGUGAAAUUUUAGUUUGCAAGUAUAAUUUUGUGUUUGUUUUUGUAAUUGCUGCUCUUUUAAAGUAAAAAAGCUUGCCGCUCUUUAGGGUAAAAGUUUUAGGAAGAGCAUGAGUCUCUGAUUUUAAGAUAAAAAUUAUUAGUUUUGUAGUACUAAGUUUAAUUUCAUAGACCUUGAUGAGUGGAUACUUGAUUAUUUAAUAACUCUGUUAUAGUAUAUAUUAUGAUUUUUUUUACCUCAAUUAACUUAUAAUUUAUAUUUAUUAACAAAGUUAUCUAUACGAGCCUAUUGAUUUACAGAGAUUUUUGUGGACAAAUACUAAUUUUUGUCUUCCAUCGUAAGUAGCUCCCAUAUUCUUUUUAUUUUGUGUGUGUUUGUUAGGGUACGUGGCCAACAAGUAGGAGGGUAGUGAAGGAUUUGAAAAGAAAAGGAGAAAAUGAAUAAUUUACUAGUGGUAAAAUCUUGACUCUACAUAUGGUCUUUCUCUAGAUAUAUAGAAAGUAAAAUAAUGGAAAUAUUUCUCAUAAGAUGAGCCCAAAAUUUUAUUGUCGAACACAUUGAAUUUUCUAUGCCAAAUCCCCACGGCAUACAUCUCUGAUAUCUUUAAAUUAGUUUAUGAUAGAUUUUUUUUAGCAUAAUUCACCUACCAUAUUCUUUCAUAUUCAUCAUCUAACAUCUAUUAAUGAAAUACUUGAAGCAAAUAAUGAAGAAAAUACUCCAAAAAUGAUUGAGAUUCAUAUGUCCAUGAGUCUGUGACAUUGACAAAUAUCUUAAGGUAAUAUUAUUUUACUUUCAUAGAAAAAUUAUUCCAUGUUAAUUGAUUAUGAAUUUAUGUUGAGAGUUAAUAUGUUUAUGCUAUUUAAAAAAAAUCACUUAUACAUGUUGUUGGGUGCAAAACUUGAAUAAUAAAAAAUAAAAAAAACUUUUUGAUAGGUUUGAUUAUAUGUUUUUUGUUUUUGCUUACAUAUAUGGGGUUAGGGAGAUGAGCUCUGUAAAGAAAGAGCAAAAGAUUAUGCAUGAUAACGGUAAAAAUCUUGGAGCUAGAUACAAUCAUUUUCUAGUGUUAUUUGAAUGCAUAGGUUUGUGAUUCCUAACAUGCAUUCUCCCUUGAAUUUCUCUACAUUGUUAUGGACCUCAUGUACAUGAGCACCACUAGUAAAAUGCCUAACAUUUUUAAACUGAAGGUCAUACUUAUAUACAUAUAGUUUUAGGAUAAUUAAGAUAAAAACUUCAUAAUAACAAAAAAUAUGUCAUAUGUGCACAUGAUAAACAACAAUUCUAAGCUAAAGAUGCUUGAAAAGUAGAGCUUCUGACCUCUGCCACGAUAUUAUGAGGUCCCCAUAAAGCAAGCCCUAGUGUGGUAUUUCGUCCCAAGUACUUGUCGAAUGCUCUUCCCAUGGUUUCACUCGGAUAAUCGAAAGUGAGAAGUUAGAUAGGAUCAUGCAGUUAACUAAAACAGGAUAGACAACCAUUCAAAGCAUAAUUAUUAAAUCCCAAUUAAACAUUUAUAAUUAACAAAACAGGGUAGACAACCAUUCAAAGCAUAAUUAUUAAAUCCCAAUUAAACAUUUAUAAUUAACGGCAAUUAUCUUAUAUUUAACAUUCAAUAAUUUAAAAUUCUAAUUUUGGAAUUGAAAAGGAUAUGUGAAGAAGCCCCAAUUAUCAAUUACUCAAGAACCGUAAUGCAAAACCAAUUGCCGAAGAACCCUAGCUAACUCGGAUCCACAGCAGUAGAAUCGUUCCUUGAACCCGUUAAUGAAGAAUCCAAAUUGAUUCAAUACCGUUGAAACCCCUUUUUACAACCCCUUGUACAAUCUGUUGCUCGAGAUCCCUAAUUGAAACCCAUUGGUUGAGAAGUGAGCAAGAGAGAGUUUUGAGCGAGAGAGUGUUGAGACAAAGCUGUGAGAGAGAUUGGGAGAGAGAUGUGCGAGAGAGAUUGGGAGAGAGAGAUGUGCGAGAGAGAUUGGGAGAGAGAGAUGUGCGAGAGAGAGCGGUUUGAGAGCGAGAGAGAGAGAGAGUUGUGAGACCGGGAGCGUGUUGUGAGUUAGUGGAAAUUUUG
rnacentral:lncRNA from 1 species